ACAAAGAGAAAGGAUAUUGAGACCUUUUGUGCAUGUGAAAUGUACUUUAAAACGUUUUGUCCAACGUGUGUAGGUCGCUGGUUACGAUAAACCGCCUCGAAGAGUUUGAUUGAGUUAUCAGGUGAGGAAAGGAGUUAUCAGGUGAGGAAAGGAGUUAUCAGGUGAGGAAAGGAGUUAUCAGGUGAGGAAAGGAGUUAUCAGGUGAGGAAAGGAGUCAUCAGGUAAGGAAAGGAGUUAUCAGGUGAGGAAAGGAGUCAUCAGGUGAGGAAAGGAGUCAUCAGGUGAGGAAAGGAGUUAUCAGGUGAGGAAAGGAGUUAUCAGGUGAGGAAAGGAGUUAUCAGGUGAGGAAAGGAGUUAUCAGGUGAGGAAAGGAGUCAUCAGGUAAGGAAAGGAGUCAUCAGGUGAGGAAAGGAGUCAUCAGGUGAGGAAAGGAGUCAUCAGGUGAGGAAAGGAGUUAUCAGGUGAGGAAAAGAGUUAUCAGGUGAGGAAAGGAGUUAUCAGGUGAGGAAAGGAGUUAUCAGGUGAGGAAAGGAGUUAUCAGGUGAGGAAAGGAGUUAUCAGGUGAGGAAAGGAGUCAUCCGGUGAGGAAAGGAGUUAUCAGGUGAGGAAAGGAGUUAUCAGGUGAGGAAAGGAGUUAUCAGGUGAGGAAAGGAGUCAUCCGGUGAGGAAAGGAGUUAUCAGGUGAGGAAAGGAGUUAUCAGGUGAGGAAAGGAGGUGAGGAAAGGAGUUAUCAGGUGAGGAAAGGAGUUAUCAGGUGAGGAAAGGAGUCAUCAGGUGAGGAAAGGAGUCAUCAGGUGAGGAAAGGAGUUAUCAGGUGAGGAAAGGAGUUAUCAGGUGAGGAAAGGAGUUAUCAGGUGAGGAAAGGAGUUAUCAGGUGAGGAAAGGAGUCAUCAGGUGAGGAAAGGAGUUAUCAGGUGAGGAAAGGAGUCAUCAGGUGAGGAAAGGAGUCAUCAGGUGAGGAAAGGAGUUAUCAGGUGAGGAAAGGAGUUAUCAGGUGAGGAAAGGAGUUAUCAGGUGAGGAAAGGAGGACAUAAGGGAGUUAUCAGGUGAGGAAAGGAGGACAUAAGGGAGUUAUCAGGUGAGGAAAGGAGUUAUCAGGUGAGGAAAGGAGGACAUAAGGGAGUUAUCAGGUGAGGAAAGGAGGACAUAAGGGAGUUAUCAGGUGAGGAAAGGAGUUAUCAGGUGAGGAAAGGAGUCAUCAGGUGAGGAAAGGAGUUAUCAGGUGAGGAAAGGAGUUAUCAGGUGAGGAAAGGAGGACAUAAGGGAGUUAUCAGGUGAGGAAAGGAGUCAUCAGGUGAGGAAAGGAGUCAUCAGGUGAGGAAAGGAGUUAUCAGGUGAGGAAAGGAGUUAUCAGGUGAGGAAAGGAGCUG